AAAUGGAAAAAUACAAGUGAAGUUGACAGUGGCCAGAGUGCAUGGCUGUGUUAUUAACAUUAAUAUGCUGUGCAUAUGUAUUUAAGCUAUACCCAAUGCAGCUUCCCCCUCUCCAGUGUGAAAUUCCCUAACAGAUGCUGUCCACAUAUUUGUGGCAGCAUUCAAAAAAAGAGCGACAAGAUGCAGCACUUGGCAGGGAGUCACAUUGUAAUGGAUGGACACAAAUAUAAUUUUGUUCAGAGUAGCCAGUAAUUUCUGCCUAGCUGGAAGACAGGGGAUAGACAUGUGGCUGAACAUCAUGCAGAAUUUAAAAUUUCUGGCCUAAAAUAGUAAGGAAAUGAAGUGUUUUGAAGAGCAAUACUGUGCUAGUUCCUGUGGACUGUCUCCAGCUUAAUUUUUUGUAUGUUAUUUAUUACAUAUGAUUGAAACAAGUAUAAUACAUCCUGUUUGUUUGAAAUUACUUAGCUCAGGCCUCCAGGACUUAUGACAGACAAACCUUUUGAAACACUUUCUAGACACAUCUUUAAAAUAGGUUCUGUUUAAGAAAACAAAGUUGUCAUUUGUUUUUGGGGUUUUUAAAGGAAUAUUCGAAAGUUAUUUACAGAAAAUAAAUAGCUAAUAGCUAUUUACUUCAAAUAUUCAAUUUUAAAAAUUUUCAACUCAAAGUCCUGACUAAUGUGGUGCAGAAUCUUUAUUUUGUGAACUACUAUAUUGUGGGGUUUUUUAAAAUAUUGUACAUUUUUAUGUUCUGUUCUGCUCUUAGCUCUUUUACAAUGGACCAGUCAAUCUUCUGCCUUGAUGUUCUUUAAUUCUUUGGUGGUUUCUCAACCCGGAGCACAGGAUUGAGAAUACCUUAGUAUUAAUCUUCCAGGUGAAGAGCAUCACUCAGAUCUGAGGUUCUUGUGCCCUUUUCAACCUUUACUACACAGUGUUGAAGAAGGGGUCUUGUAAUGUUAGAACUGCACUGUCCUUGCUAGCUUACUUCACACUAACUAGGCAUCAUAUAGCAGCAAGCUUCUGGUGGCUUCAAACUGAAACCAUCAUCUUUACCAUGAAAAAUACUGUAUUUGAGGUUAGCUUGUGCCCAUGCAUCUGCAUUAAAGCUACAGCUCCCAUAGAUACCCAGGUGGGUGUAUCUGCUCUGGAAUGUCAGGAGGGGAUUGCCUACGUUAGAUCCUGCUCUGGAAAGUGGAGGACCUUGUGCUGCUUAAGUUCACAAAACCAAAAUGAAGUCAGUCAUCAGUCUGUUCUGGUCCUUUGCACAGAAUAGAUGCUGCUUUGCAGGAGCAAAUGUAUUAGCAAGAAAAAGAAAAUGAAAUGAAAACCUGAGCCUAUUUGAAACAAUGUAUGACAAACCACUGAGUCUUGUGCCAGUAUGUUUACUUUGGCAGGCCUCCCCUCUCUCCUGCUAAAAGAACCAAGCUCUCUCUGCUAUGAGAAUUCUUCUGUGGAUGUUUAAAAAAAAAAAAGAGAGAGACAGAAAAGAAAAACAAAACAACCACCCUGCAGCAGAUCAUUCAUCAUACACAGAGUAGGAGCAUGAAAGGGGAUUUGUUUCGACCUAGUUACAAAAACAAAGAGACUUUCUCUAAUUGCCCAAAUGACUCAAGUGGGACUGGGUGUCAAAAGCAACAAAUCUCUGACUCCUUCAGAACUUAUGUUAAUACAGGGCACCAGGCUCCAGCCUGUUCCAGUGCAAGACCUGGAGUCCAAAAAAGCCCAGGUAAGCAAAAGCCGGCCAACUACAUAUGUCUGCAUGUACAAACAGGACCAGCAGCCAGGACAAACAUGUUUAAUAAAUUAUAACAAAGACAGUGGCUUUAAAUGCUGACAGUAUCAGGGCUUCAAGGUUUGCUUUGCCAAGAUUUGCAGGUGAGUGAGACUUUAUUGCUUUACCAUUCUGGUACUGCCACAGGAAGGGUCUCUCUUACUCUCCAGCAGCAUUUGCUGGUCUGUUAUUGAUCCACUAAGCCUAACUUUUUACUUCACAGGAGCCUGAGGGCAACUGCAUAUCCAAACUGCCACGUGAACACCGUGGCCACCUUUUCCACACAUCACUGAAAAGGACAGGGUUUGUACACUGCUAUUGCUGGGUUUGGGGUAAAAAAAGCAAGAUCAAAUACAGAUAGGGCUGGGGAAUAAGAGCUAAAAUGAAGGAGAAAAGGAAAUAGAGGGAGAUAAGGGGCAUGAGUAGAGGGAUGGGUUUUAUGUAGAUAUACGGGAGAAGAAAGUAGAAGAAAAGGCCAUUCAUCAGCUACUGAAAACAGCCUGCAAAAAUCAGUGUACAAGAGCUCUGAAGAUGCCUGCAUACAGCCAGGCAAAAAACUGUCCAUUUGGCAUCUCAUUGUACAGUAUUUCCAUGAUAGCAGUAGUUGUCCAUUCUAGGAGACUAAUUUCUAGGGAGCUAGAAUUUCUGCUAGGAGCCCUAAUAAGGGCUGACCCUUCAUUGGAAAUAUAUGAAUUUAGGCAGCUGAUGACCUAGUCUUCAAUUCUUAUGUAGGGACUGCUGGUGCUGUCCUCUGUGCUGUGGAGAUGGGGCAAGCAGAAAAAACUUUUCUGAAACCCAAAUAAAAUUUCUGGUUCUAUUCAGGUUUAGAGGGAAGGUUCACAGGAGUUUGUAUUUUUUCCCCAGCUGGUUCACCAUCUAUUUUAGAUGGAACUGUUUGAUCUCUUUCUGCUUUGUGUUUCUUUCAGUUUCCCAAACAAUAGGAGGAAGCUCUCCUGUUACGUGUGCUUGGGCUCCAACCAACCUUUUCCCAGCUGGAAAAAUCACUCCAUGUAUUACAGAGGAUUUUUUUUUUUCCCCAGCUGUAAUUAUAAGAUUUCCAGUUCCCUUAUGCAUUUUGUAAGGUAGGUACAGGCUGUCUUAAGGAUAACAAUAGGACAUUCCUGAGUGCUUAAACAACUGCUGUUUCCCCACCAUCACCCCCUCUAAAACUGGAGGGGGACUUAAGCACAUUUGAGCUGUUCCGCUGAAGGUUACAGAGACCCCAGCUGAAAAAACAUUCAGGGAGGUGCACAGCUCCACGUAAUGCUCCAGCUUUGGUGACUAAGAUACCCAGGCUCUUCCUGUUACCUGAUUAUAUACACAAACACUCCAAAUUCACCAGACUAGCUGGGAGGACUUGGCAAGUGCACAGGGAAUAUCUGUGCAAGGGACAGCUGGCAGAACUGUCAGAUGGACAUGCACAGCACAGUUUAAGAGGCCAGGCUACAACCAGCCUGGUAGACAAACUUGCCCAAGGGAGCAGCAUGGAUCCCUUCCUUAAUAGAAAUAAGACCUCAUACUUGACCCAAAUGUUCAUCUACAUCAACAAACAGGUCCCACCCAUCAGCAUACAUUCAGCAAACUUCAUCUCUUCGUCCUCUGACAAAACUAUCCAGCUGAUCCUGACUGUCCCAUCCCAACACACAUCAGGUACAAUAAGGUCUGUUCCACUAGAUGAAAGGUGGGGAAGCGGGCAAAAGAGAACAUUAAUGCUGACUGCCAUGCUUAGGAGGGAGAAGAAAGACAAAUAACUAGGCUAUAGAAUGGCUCUGGCUAAUUGUCAUCAUCCCCUUGCCCUGCUGGGGAGAAGUGCCUUAUUUUAGGGACCCUAAUGUUUCCAUGAUUCUCACACAGGUAACAUCCAGCUGGGAUCCUGGAGCAUCUGGGCACUAAGGAAGCAAACACUACUGCUAGCCAGGACCAGCAUAUGCAACAGAAAUAAGGAUUAAUGUGUGCUGUGGAAGGGUUUUGAGGCCUCAGCAGUUAGUCCCUCGUUGUGCUGGUGAUGUUUCAGACAAGCAAGCACUGCUGAUACCGAAGAAAGCCUGAGCAGCUGAUGCUCCUGUAGUCCAUGAGAGUAAACUUCGGGGGACCUGGCAGAGUCUCACUGCUGCUCAACCAAGGGCAACGCUGGAAACAGAGAGUAAUCCUAUGGCAGAAGAAAAGCUAUGAUGCUUCCCAGCCUCCUGCUCUGCACCUCACCAUUUCUGGUGCCAAGACCUCCCCAUGCACAGCGAGUGUCCUCCCCUGUGCCGUGAUCAGACUGUGUCAAACGUGCUGCUAACAAACACAUGCAGGGACUCACUUCCACCUUGGCGCUGCCUGCUGAUGUGCGUGUGAUAUCAGUGAGUAAAAUAAGCCUCGAUCUUUACAAAAGCAGUGCUCUAAGUUUAUCUUACUUCAAAAAAUAAGUUCCCUCUACAAAAGCAGGAAGCUUACUCUGUCUCCUUUCCCACAACAAUCUACAUUUUUGGGGAAAUGCCAGCCCUGGGACUCUUCCUGUCUUUUCAUUAUGUCAGAAAGCUCAUGGUGUGUUCAAAAAUAAUCAACAUUAGGAUUUACUCUUUUUUAAACAAAUGAUGAUACAACAUUAUUUAUAAACAGGUAUUAUUAAAUCCAGAUGCUUUUGUGUCUGAAGUUGGGACAGAGAUUGUUGACUCCAAGUCAAGCAGUCAUUCAUUUCAUGACUUUUAUCUUCCUCUCAGGCAGAGCCUGCAAGAAGUGGUGGCAAGACAAAAGUUACUCAGCCAUAAAACAGAGUAUUUACUGUGGCUGUGCAAUGGGUAGGGGCACAGCCCCAGGACUCAAAGGGAGAACAAAACAUAUGUUGUAUGUGGUGGGAAAAGCUUGAAUCAAAGCACUAUAAUCAAUAUACCUGAAAGCAGCUAAGGAUUUGGGGGUGCCCAGUUGAGAAGCAUAAUUUUCAGAAAGUACAUGGGUAUCAGCUUCUGAAAAUUUGGCCAUUUUGAGUUGUCGCAAGAUGAACAGCCAUUUUUUGUACACUCUUCCAACAGAUAGUCAGAAGUUCCUUAUUACCCCUGAAAAUAUAGGCUUUCUUCCACACUCUACCCUCUUUUUGGAACUAGUGACCUAGCAACUCCCCUUCCUGCUAGUAUGCUACUGCAUGACUGCUGGCAUGUCUGUACUGCCCUAAGGAGACACUGAGCCAAAUCCAACCCAUUAUAGCUGUGGAAACACAAGGGGAGGCUACAAGGGAGAGACGAGGUCUUGGAGAAUGGGAUAAAGUAAAACAUUUGGCUCUAACUUAGAUUGGAGAAAAAGAAUGAAACAUUUGACUGUGACCUCUUCUACUUAGAGACCCUCUUUUUGCUCCAUAUUUGUCCUGUGCUUAAUGUUGUACAGUUCUGCUUCAUGUCUGUGGCUGCUGGGUUUGUAGGGCAAAAUGGGCAGGGGGAGGAGAGAAGAAGGCUUGGUUUUCUGUGCUCUGUAUCUAGGGCUGAAGGCUCUGGAAAGCAAAGGUGUAUUUGGGACGAGCAUGGAAAAAAACCUGGUUUUUAGCAAAAGUUAGAGAGAAUCUCUAACUCCUGAGAGUAAAUACAAGUGCCCAGAAAAUGAGAGGGAAAAGUUGUAGAGUAGUUGCUCCAGGUCUUGGGGCAAGGUGGAUCUACCCCUGUAGAGGACCUAAACCAGACUGGACUCAAUAGGCUGAAGAUCCCUGUUUCACAGCCAGCCUUCAGAGGCUGCUUGGGGCAGUUUGGGCUACCUAAUAACAAAUUAAUCUGCAUUUGAUUGAAGUGAUCUCAGAAAGAAAAAAUCAGGUAGAGCCUCCAGUGCUUGCACAUUUCUGCCAGCCUCCUCUGUGGUCAGAAUGCAAUGGUAAAAACUUCUAGGGGUGUGCUUCACCCUGCCACAGGUCUGGUUAAGAGUAGAAUUGCUCAGAUUUGGCAAGUGCUCCAUAGAGAAUAUUUGUGUAAUUUAGCUGGUUGUCCCCAAAACAAUUGCACAGAGAGAGCGUCUCUAGGAACCCUUCAAAGACUUUGUUUUUUCAUAGACUGGAAAUACUUAAAGACCCCUAGCUAUCUUUUUGUGAUGCCAAGUGCAGCAUAGACUCUGGUCUGUCAUGUUCUGGUCUAAAUAUUUUCCUCUCAGCAUCUGAGACAGUUUCAUACAAGUACUGAAGAGUCAGCAACCACAAGAAAACUGCAAACAUUUUCCAGGAUGUCUCUUCCAUUCUCUGUCCUCCCAGCUGAAGCUUCAUGAUGGAAAUUUGUCCUACUCUCCACACGGUAAUUGUCAAAUAGUGUUGGAACAAAAGCUGUGUGCCUAUUUUUGAGAUGAUGAAGCCCAUGAAGAAGGAAAAAUAUCUUGUCUACUUUUCUGUAAGGUGAAGAUGUGGAGGAUCAUAAAGACACAAUUUAUGACUCACAUGGUUAAAGCUUCUCUAGGAAAGUAAGAAUAUAAUGUAUAAAUAUGUGCCAGAUUUUGCUUUUAGGCAUGAGACUGAGCCAGACCCUCAUCUGGAUGGAACAGAGUUAAAGGCUCCCAGUUAUGCUAUGCUGACUUACUCACAUUAUGGUUUUUUGACCCUGAGGAGUUAAGAUGCACUACAUUGACUGUACACCUGUGUAACCAAAGAGGGAUCUCUGCCCUUGUCAGUGCUCACCUGACUAAGUUUUGGGCACAGGUUUUCAGUAUGUGUGUCCCUGGCAAUAAACCAUAACAGUUGUGCUGGCCCACACAUUUCUUAGGAAGCUUAAAAAUACAGGAUCAGCAUCUGCACUGGGAACUCUGGCUUAUCUAGAGCCCUCUAGUCAAUAUUUUGAUUGGCAAAUCACAUCUUUUCCUCUGUGGCUACACAGCUCACAGAGGUGGGAGCCUGUCCUCUUGUCUCUGGGGAAUAUUGUGCUCACUGCAGCACCUGAUCACUACAAAGAUUUGAAGUCCAGUGGGAGCUGCAAGAGUGAGAGUUGCUUUCAAGUCUCUUGUCCAGCUGAUGUAUAAUCAAAAUCUGCAUGUCUGAUCAUCUGGUCAGCACUUUGCCCAGCCUCAUUUCAGCCAUUAUCUGUUACUUGGAUGCAUGCGAUGUGCUUUUCUGCAAUUGGGCUCAAUGGAGAACUGUCCUGAGCUGGACCUGGCAGCACGAGCUGAAGAUGAUGGGCAGUUUGCAGGGGAAGCUUUUCUUUGUUCAGAAAAAUUCUCAGUGAUGUAUCUUGUAUUACCUUGGGUUUCUGUGCUUCACACAAUGCUCUUCACUUUUCUUUUGCAUAGUUUUGGGUUAUACUAGGCUCCAUCCUGCCAUACAUCCCUCACUGCGAGCAUG